rnacentral:rRNA from 1 species
CCUACGGGAGGCAGCAGUGAGGAAUAUUGGACAAUGGGCGCAAGCCUGAUCCAGCCAUGCCGCGUGCAGGAAGAAGCAUCUAUGGUGUGUAAACUGCUUUUGUACAGGAAGAAACACUCCCUCGUGAGGGAGCUUGACGGUACUGUAAGAAUAAGGACCGGCUAACUCCGUGCCAGCAGCCGCGGUAAUACGGAGGGUCCGAGCGUUAUCCGGAAUCAUUGGGUUUAAAGGGUCCGUAGGCGGUUUAAUAAGUCAGUGGUGAAAUCUGGUCGCUCAACGAUCAAACGGCCAUUGAUACUGUUAGACUUGAAUUAUAAGGAAGUAACUAGAAUAUGUAGUGUAGCGGUGAAAUGCUUAGAUAUUACAUGGAAUACCAAUUGCGAAGGCAGGUUACUACUUAUGGAUUGACGCUGAUGGACGAAAGCGUGGGGAGCGAACAGGAUUAGAUACCCUGGUAGUCCACGCCGUAAACGAUGGAUACUAGCUGUUCGGAGCAAUCUGAGUGGCUAAGCGAAAGUGAUAAGUAUCCCACCUGGGGAGUACGUUCGCAAGAAUGAAACUUAAAUGAAUUGACCGGNUGNGAGNGCGAGACGACGACGAGGGAGGAGG